rnacentral:rRNA from 1 species
AACGAACGCUGGCGGCAUGCCUAACACAUGCAAGUCGAACGAGACCUUCGGGUCUAGUGGCGCACGGGUGCGUAACGCGUGGGAACCUGCCCUUAGGUUCGGAAUAACUCCCCGAAAGGGGUGCUAAUACCGGAUAAUGUCUUCGGACCAAAGAUUUAUAGCCUUUGGAUGGGCCCGCGUUGGAUUAGCUAGUUGGUAGGGUAAAAGCCUACCAAGGCGACGAUCCAUAGCUGGUCUGAGAGGAUGAUCAGCCACACUGGGACUGAGACACGGCCCAGACUCCUACGGGAGGCAGCAGUGGGGAAUAGUGGACGAUGGGCGAAAGCCUGAUCCAGCUAUGCCGCGUGAGUGAUGAAGGCCUUAGGGUUGUAAAGCUCUUUUACCCGGGAUGAUAAUGACAGUACCGGGAGAAUAAGCCCCGGCUAACUCCGUG